GAUGAACGCUGGCGGCGUGCCUAAUACAUGCAAGUCGAGCGAAUGGAUUAAGAGCUUGCUCUUAUGAAGUUAGCGGCGGACGGGUGAGUAACACGUGGGUAACCUGCCCAUAAGACUGGGAUAACUCCGGGAAACCGGGGCUAAUACCGGAUAACAUUUUGAACCGCAUGGUUCGAAAUUGAAAGGCGGCUUCGGCUGUCACUUAUGGAUGGACCCGCGUCGCAUUAGCUAGUUGGUGAGGUAACGGCUCACCAAGGCAACGAUGCGUAGCCGACCUGAGAGGGUGAUCGGCCACACUGGGACUGGGACACGGCCCGGACUCCUACGGGAGGCAGCAGUAGGGAAUCUUCCGCAAUGGACGAAAGUCUGACGGAGCAACGCGGCGUGAGUGAUGAAGGCUUUCGGGUCGUAAAACUCUGUUGUUAGGGAAGAACAAGUGCUAGUUGAAUAAGCUGGCACCUUGACGGUACCUAACCAGAAAGCCACGGCUAACUACGUGCCAGCAGCCGCCGUAA
rnacentral:rRNA from 1 species